rnacentral:rRNA from 1 species
GACGAACGCUGGCGGCGUGCUUAACACAUGCAAGUCGAACGGAAAGGCCCUGCUUUUGUGGGGCGCUCGAGUGGCGAACGGGUGAGUAACACGUGAGUAACCUGCCCUUGACUUUGGGAUAACUUCAGGAAACUGGGGCUAAUACCGGAUAGGAGCUCCUGCUGCAUGGUGGGGUUGGAAAGUUUCGGCGGUUGGGGAUGGACUCGCGGCUUAUCAGCUUGUUGGUGGGGUAGUGGCUUACCAAGGCUUUGACGGGUAGCCGGCCUGAGAGGGUGACCGGCCACAUUGGGACUGAGAUACGGCCCAGACUCCUACGGGAGGCAGCAGUGGGGAAUAUUGCACAAUGGGCGGAAGCCUGAUGCAGCAACGCCGCGUGCGGGAUGACGGCCUUCGGGUUGUAAACCGCUUUCGCCUGUGACGAAGCGUGAGUGACGGUAAUGGGUAAAGAAGCACCGGCUAACUACGUG